UAGGUGAAUGCCCGUUGGUUUGGGCGCUUAGCUGUUAACUAAGAUUUUGUGGGAUCAAAGCCCUCUCAUCUAG
rnacentral:tRNA from 1 species